rnacentral:rRNA from 1 species
CAGCGCCACAAGUGGGAGCCAUGUUUAUUGGGCCUAAAGCGUCCGUAGCCGGUCCGGUAAAUCUUCUGUGAAAUUGUCUGGCCUAACCAGACAGCGUGCAGGAGACACUGCCGGACUCGAGACCGGGAGGGGUCAGAAGUAUUCCUAGGGGAGCGGUAAAAUGCUAUAAUCCUAGGAAGACUACCUGUGGCGAAGGCGUCUGACUAGAACGGUUCUGACGGUGAGGGACGAAAGCUAGGGGAGCGAACCGGAUUAGAUACCCGAGUAGUCC